GCAAAUUCUAUGAAGGGAAUCAGUAAAAGCAGAGAAAAUAGCUGUUUACAGAGAGCCGCAGUUGGUGUGAUGCGGUAACGGCACUGUUUUGAAUAUCAUCCCUGAGAAGGAAGACCGAACGUUACGUUUGAGAUUUAUCAGUAGGUUUUCACGGAGGCUCCCCGUUACAGGAGACGCGUAUGCCGGUACGUUGCAGAAUCGUACUUGUUUCAAUGACGAAACAGGGUGGUUGCGGAAUUAUAUAUCCGUCCCUGAU
rnacentral:ncRNA from 1 species